CUACGGGAGGCUGCAGUGGGGAAUAUUGGACAAUGGGGGAAACCCUGAUCCAGCAAUGCCGCGUGUGUGAAGAAGGCCUGCGGGUUGUAAAGCACUUUCGGUUGGGAGGACUGCUUCUAGCACUAAUAUUGUUGGAAGUUAACGUUACCUUCAGAAGAAGCACCGGCUAACUCCGUGCCGGCAGCCGCGGUAAUACGGAGGGUGCAGCGUUAAUCGGAAUUACUGGGCGUAAAGCGCGCGUAGGCGGCUAGAUCAGUCGGGUGUGAAAGCCCCGGGCUUAACCUGGGAACUGCAUCCGAUACUGUCUAGCUUGAGUACAGGAGAGGGGAGUGGAAUUCCACAUGUAGCGGUGAAAUGCGUAGAUAUGUGGAGGAACACCAAUGGCGAAGGCAGCUCUCUGGCCUGAUGCUGACGCUGAGGUGCGAAAGCGUGGGGAGCAAACAGGAUUAGAUACCCUCGUAGUC
rnacentral:rRNA from 1 species